UUGUAGUAGGACAAGGUGAGGGCAUCCCCCUGACCAGCAGAGGCGGAUCUUUGCUGGCAAGCAGCUGGAAGAUGGGCGCACCCUGCCCAACUACA